GAUGAACGCUGGCGGUCUGCUUAACACAUGCAAGUCGAACGGAAUCUUUCGGGAUUUAGUGGCGGACGGGUGAGUAACGCGUGAGAAUCUGCCUUCAGGUUCGGGACAACAGCUGGAAACGGCUGCUAAUACCGGAUGUGCCGAGAGGUGAAAGCUUUAGUGCCUGGAGAUGAGCUCGCGUCUGAUUAGCUAGUAGGAGUGGUAACGGCACCCCUAGGCGACGAUCAGUAGCUGGUCUGAGAGGAUGAUCAGCCACACUGGGACUGAGACACGGCCCAGACUCCUACGGGAGGCAGCAGUGGGGAAUUUUCCGCAAUGGGCGCAAGCCUGACGGAGCAAGACCGCGUGAGGGAAGAAGGUCUGUGGAUUGUAAACCUCUUUUGAUAGGGAAGAAUAAAUGACGGUACCUAACGAAUCAGCAUCGGCUAACUCCGUGCCAGCAGCCGCGGUAAUACGGGGGAUGCAAGCGUUAUCCGGAAUUAUUGGGCGUAAAGCGUCCGCAGGUGGUUUAUCAAGUCUGCUGUCAAAGCGUGGGGCUUAACCCCAUAAAGGCAGUGGAAACUGAGAGACUAGAGUACGGUAGGGGUAGCGGGAAUUCCCAGUGUAGCGGUGAAAUGCGUAGAUAUUGGGAAGAACACCAGCGGCGAAGGCGCGCUACUGGGCCGAAACUGACACUCAUGGACGAAAGCUAGGGGAGCGAAAGGGAUUAGAUACCCCUGUAGUCCUAGCUGUAAACGAUGACAACUAGGUGUUG
rnacentral:rRNA from 1 species